UAGAAAAUCUGAUUACGAACGCGGAAUAUUCUUUGGAAUCGGUUUUUGAUAGCGCACAGUUACUGCCCUUUAAUCAAAUGCGCCAUUUGCACCGGAGGGUGUGUAUGGAAAAGAGUGUUCACAUGUGGUAACCAGUAAACAAGCAAGUCAGAAGAAUGACGUCUAAGACAUUGUGUGCUAUUUUAGUGUCAGAAUAUACAGAUGUUUUGUACCAUGCAGUGUGUGAAGUAACAGUAAAACAGAAUAGCUACAGACUAUGAAGUUGAGAAAUGCAGAUACAGCUCUAAAUUGUUCAACAUGGUGUAUGUGGGAAACAUAGUAGACAGGAACCAUAGAAAUCAUAUGACAAGAGAUAUCCAUACAUUUGCUUCAAGGAAAUGAAAAGAAAAAUGGGUACUGAAUAGUAUGCAGUGAAAUGCAAGUCAGCUGAAGUCAGUGUGAAGUAACAGUAAAGCAGAGUGGCUAGAAACCAUUAACUUCAGAACUGAAGAGUGCAAUGUGUGAAGUAACAGUAAAACAGAAUAGCUACAAAUGCAGAUACAGCUCUAAAUUGUUCAACAUGGUGGGAAACAAGUAGACAGGAACCAUAGAAAUCAUAUGACAAGAGAUAUCCAUACAUUUGCUUCAAGGAAAUGAAAAGAAAAAUGGGUGCUGAAUAGUAUGCAGUGAAAUGCAAGUCAGCUGAAGUCAGUGUGAAGUAACAGUAAAGCAGAGUGGCUAGAAACCAUUAACUUCAGAACUGAAGAGUGCAAUGUGUGAAGUAACAGUAAAACAGAAUAGCUACAAAUGCAGAUACAGCUCUAAAUUGUUCAACAUGGUGGGAAACAAGUAGACAGGAACCAUAGAAAUCAUAUGACAAUGUGAAGUAACAGUAAAGCAGAGUGGCUAGAAACCAUUAACUUCAGAACUGAAGAGGUACAGGUCUUUCUUCUAUAUGGUAAAUGAUUGAACCAUGGUGGAAUUUUGGAUAUAUAAGUGCAAUGUGUGAAGUAACAGUAAAACAGAAUAGCUACAAAUGCAGAUACAGCUCUAAAUUGUUCAACAUGGUGGGAAACAAGUAGACAGGAACCAUAGAAAUCAUAUGACAAAUAAGAAGCUCAUUUACAUUUAGAUCCAUUUUCCUCUAAUCUAGCUGCACUCUAGAGUUAUAGAAAAGCUUAAUACAGUUCUUCUAAAAAUAAAACAAAUUUUACAAUGGAAGGGAGGUAACUCAAUUAAGAAAAAAGAACACUAAAAGGCUAUAUACUAAUAAAAGAAAUUGUUCUUUGUUUCAAAUAAAAUUCAGCUACUUUAGGUCAAUUUUGAUAUAGUUUUUAGAUAUUCACUGUCUUAGACCUGUUUUCCACGAGAUAUCCAUACAUUUGCUUCAAGGAAAUGAAAAGAAAAAUGGGUGUUGAAUAGCAUGCAGUUAAAUACAAGUCAGCUGAAGUCAGUGUGAAGUAACAGUAAGGCAGAAUUCUAGAGACCAUUAACUUCAGAACUGAAGCGAUACAGGUCUUUCUUCUAUAUGGUAAAUGAUGUAACUAGGUAGAAUUUUGGAUAUAUAAGGUGUCAAGUUACAGAAAAGCAGGAUAGCUGCGAACCAUGAACUUCAGAAAUGAAGAGAUGCAUGUCAUUAUUCAGCAUGGUGUAUAUGGAAACAUUGUGGAUGGCAGAAAUGAAAUGAUUUAGUUAGUAAACACACCAUAAAUUUGUAUUUAGAAUUAUUUUCCUGUACUUCCAGCUGCUUUUCUAAAGCUACAGGAAGAUUUUUUUUUUUACUUUACAGUUCAAGGGAGGUAACUCAAUAAAAAAACAACACACAAAUGCCCUUGCUUAAUUUUAUUUUGGUAAAUUACAGGGUUUGUUUUUACAAAAAUGUUCACUAAAACAGUUCAUCAUGCUGGACAAAAUUGAUUCUGCCUUUGCGACCAGUGUAGAUCAUGAUCAGCCUACAUUAUCUGUACGUCUGAUCAAGAUCUACACUGUUCGCAGUUCAGUCAGUAUCUUAUUUUGUAAGCACCCCUUUUAACAGAUAAAGGUACAGUCCAAAUUGAAAUACGGACAAGUGCAUUAUAGAAAUAUAGCAGGGUAAAAAUUAAAGUAUGUCCGUAAACAUUAUUCUUUUUUUUCUUCUGGUUAACAGAUUUGCAAUACAUGCAUUGAUUUUGAAAUUACAUAGGUAUGUGUAAUAAUAUGGUAAUUAAUUUCAAGGAAAAUCAAAGUGACAUCAAUUUUUAAGGCCAAUUAUUUUGGGUAUAUUUUCAUGUUUGGUCUAAACUUUUUACUUAUAGGCAUGGAUUCACUUCCAAAUAACAUUGCAUGAAAUUUCAUAAUAGGAAACUCUGACCCUAGUUAGCUCAUCUGAUUUUUUGGAAAAAAAAUUGAGUUGUCAUCAUUUGAUCAGUGUUGGUGUUGCCUGGUUAAGUUUUGUGUUUAGGUCAGCUUUUCUCCUAAACUAUUAAAGCUAUUGCUUUAAAACUUGCAAGACUUGCUCACCAUCAAUAGCUGACUCUGUACAUCAAGAAACAUAACUCCAUCCUGCUUUUUGCAAGAACUAAAGAUAAGAUAAGAUAUUCGGUAUGGUACUGAAAAUGAGGGAACCACGGUGGAAUUUUGGAUUUCAUGGCAGUCAUGGAAAUAUCUAAUAAGUAACCAGAUAAUUUGUAUUAAGAAUAAUUUACCAUUAACAAACUGCAUUUAGAGUUACAGAAGAGCUGAACAGAUACAUUAGUUUAAAAAAAGCAGCAAAGAAUGUCUAAUCUUUUAUAAAACAGAUUUUACAAUUGAAGGGAGCUAACUCAGUUAAAAAAAAACAACACUAAAAUGCCCUUGCUCUCAUAGAAAUUGUCACUUUCAGAAUCUUAUCAGUUUUAUAGUUUUGGAUUGAGUAAGAACUACAGUGGUAUUUUUAGCUCACCUGAGCACAAAGUGCUUAUGGUGAGCUAUUGUGAUCAGGCUGUGUCUGUUGUCCGUUGUGCGUGCAUGCGUCCGUCGGUCGUCAACAUUUGUGUUUAAACGACAUCUGUUCCAGAACAAAUGAAUGGAUUUUGAUGAAACUUUGCAGUAAUGUUCCUUGGGUGGUCCUCUACCAAAAUUGUUCAAAAGGUUCUGCUUGGUUGCACAUAGGGUCUGCCAGAGCUAAAAAUAGAAAAAACUUCAAACAACAUCUCCUCCUAAACCGAUGGUCCAAUUUUUAAAUAGUUUCACACAAAUGGUCCUUAUGUCACCCUCUACCAAGAUUGUACAAAUUAUACCGAUUUGUCAAAAAACAUGGCUGCUGGAGGGUGUGGUCACUUUUCCCUAUAUGUAUAUAGUGGAAACUUUAAAAAUCUUCUUGUGUGAAACUUCUUGCCCUAUUUUAGAAUAAUUUUACACCAAUGGUCCUUGUGUGACGCUCUACCAAGAUUGUUCAAAUUAUUUUGAUUUGUCAAAAAACAUGGCCACCAGAGGGCGUGGUCACUUUUCCCUGUAUGUAUAUAGCAGAAACUUCAAAAAUCUUGUUUGAAACUGCAAGUCCAAUUUUAAAGUAAUUUUACACAAAUGGUUCUUGUGUGACCCUCUACCAAGAUUGUUCAAAUUAUUUCGAUUCAUCAAAAAACAUGGCUGCCAGGGGGCAUGGUCACUUUUCUUCUCUGAAUCAAUAAUAGCUAGAGCCUUGAUAUUUGGUGUGUGAUAUCAGAUUUGUAAUGUCUACCAUAAUUGUUCAAAUUAUUGCCCUAGGUUCAAAAGUGUGUGUGAUAUGUAUAUAAUAUACCACACCAUAUAUUUUUACAGGUAUAUAGGACAGUGAUGUGUGUACCAGUCUGUCGGGCUAUUACAUGUUUAUCCAGUCGAUAAAUUUGAAAUGGAUGCUUAGAUUCUCAAAUAACUUGGCAUACUUUUUUUCACAGUUACAAAGACAGAUUGCAAAAGAUUUUAAGUAAUUUUUAGCUCACCUGAGCAGGAAGUGCUCAAAGGUGAGCUUUUGUGAUCGCCAUGUGUCCGUCGUCCGUCCGUCGUCCUUUGUCAACAAUUUGACUGUUAACACUCUAGAGGUCACAAUUUUGGCCCAAACUUAAUGAAACUUGGUCAGAAUGUUAUCCUCAAUAAAAUCUUGGACGAGUUUGAUAUCGGGUCAUCUAGGGUAAAAAACUUGGUCACCAGGUCAAAUCAAAGGAAAAGCUUGUUAACAUUUUAGGGGUCACAAUUUUGGCCCAAUCUUAACGAAACUUGGUCAGAAUGUUUCCCUCAAUAAAAUCUUGGACAAGUUCGAUAUUAGGUCAUCUGGGAUUAAAAACUAGGUCACUAGGUCAAAUCAAAGGAAAAGCUUGUUAACACUCUAGAGGUCACAUUUUUGGCCCAGUCUUAAUGAAACUUGGUCAGAAUGUUACCCUCAAUAAACUCUUGAACAAAUUCGAUAUUGGGUCAUCUGGGGUCAAAAACCAGGUCACCAGGUCAAAUCAAAGGAAAAGCU